GACUAAAAUGCUUUCAAAAUUUUGAAAUCGCGCUGUACAAAUUGGCUGCGCACUAAUUAACGCAACCACUUCCAGCUGCCAGACGGCCCUUACCCUAACCGUGAGAGCACCAAGGACCACAUACCAAAAAACCAGCCUGACUAAAAUGCUUGCUCGAAAACGUUGCUGGCUCCCGUACUAAAAUCUUAAACCACUACCGGAUUAUGAGUAUUUAAAACAGGAAAAUCAUAAGCUUAUGAUUAAAGUUCGUGCAUUUUAUGGAGGGAAAACAGAAAUAUCAGUGGAUGAAUUAAGUACUGAUGACACCACUAUUGCAUCUUCAAGGGAUAGAGUUGAAACAGUAUUUUUACCUUUGAAUGAUCAAUAUGACCAGAUUGUUAAAAGAAGAGGAAUUGUAUUAUCCUACCUGGAUCCUAUAUUAGCCAAAUUAUUAUUAGAAUACAACAUAAAUGAAAACAUAUUUCAAUUCAAGCAUUUGAAUUAGAUGCCACGAACAUUACAUUUAAGCCUGCCAUGCAGAAACUUUUGGCACUUUUUAUACUAGGAUUGAUGUCUCUACAAUACAAUCUAAAAGAAAAAUUGAACAAUAUACUUUCGUCAAAGUUAUUUGCACAAAUAUUAAAUGCAUAUAAUGUCCAUGUUAAUGAGUUUAUUAAUAUAAUAAAUGAUGUGACUGAUAUAGAAAAAGUAAUAAGCGCAAGGAAAAUAUGAACUGCCAGACGGCCCUUACCCUAACCGUGAGAGCACCAAGGACCACAUACCAAAAAACCAGCCUGACUAAAAUGCUUGCUCGAAAACGUUGCUGGCUCCCGUACUAAAAUCUUAAACCACUACCGGAUUAUGAGUAUUUAAAACAGGAAAAUCAUAAGCUUAUGAUUAAAGUUCGUGCAUUUUAUGGAGGGAAAACAGAAAUAUCAGUGGAUGAAUUAAGUACUGAUGACACCACUAUUGCAUCUUCAAGGGAUAGAGUUGAAACAGUAUUUUUACCUUUGAAUGAUCAAUAUGACCAGAUUGUUAAAAGAAGAGGAAUUGUAUUAUCCUACCUGGAUCCUAUAUUAGCCAAAUUAUUAUUAGAAUACAACAUAAAUGAAAACAUAUUUCAAUUCAAGCAUUUGAAUUAGAUGCCACGAACAUUACAUUUAAGCCUGCCAUGCAGAAACUUUUGGCACUUUUUAUACUAGGAUUGAUGUCUCUACAAUACAAUCUAAAAGAAAAAUUGAACAAUAUACUUUCGUCAAAGUUAUUUGCACAAAUAUUAAAUGCAUAUAAUGUCCAUGUUAAUGAGUUUAUUAAUAUAAUAAAUGAUGUGACUGAUAUAGAAAAAGUAAUAAGCG